rfam:Heterocephalus glaber contig57374, whole genome shotgun sequence.
CACUAUGGCCAUACCAUCCUGAUUGUGCCUGAUCUCAUCUGAUCUCGGAAGCUAAGCAGGGUCGGGCCUAGUUAGUACUUGGAUGGAAUACCUUUCCACAAAACACUAAAAAAUAUAAAGC